rnacentral:snRNA from 1 species
GGAUGUGAGGGUGAUCUGGCCAUGACAUCGGUCACCCAUUGAUUUGGCUGAUCUGGUUGGCUAGGAGGGUGUGCCCUUCCUCCCUCACUGCUCCAAGUGUGUCCCUCCCUAGGUGUGCUGUGGAAGAGAACAGCCACACAUGAUAGAGGAAGACCAUUUCCUCAGUCAAGAGUAUACCAGUAGCUCCUCUCCCCUGGUAGAACCUCCAAACAAGCUCUCAAGAAAAUGGGUCUUCAUCGCUAAAGAGGAUAUUGAAACAAUGCCAAAGUUUUGGUAAUCAAUGGCAUAAAAUUAAUAAUCUUGAAAAUUAAUAAGCUACUGCAUUAAUUGUAUUGUUAU